rnacentral:rRNA from 1 species
ACGAAGCAUUUAAGACAGAUUACUUCGGUUUGAAGUCUUUUAUGACUCAGUGGCGGACGGGUGAGUAACGCGUGGGUAACCUGCCUCAUACAGGGGGAUAGCAGCUGGAAACGGCUGGUAAUACCGCAUAAGCGCACGGUAUCGCAUGAUACAGUGUGAAAAACUCCGGUGGUAUGAGAUGGACCCGCGUCUGAUUAGCUGGUUGGUGAGGUAACGGCCCACCAAGGCGACGAUCAGUAGCCGACCUGAGAGGGUGACCGGCCACAUUGGGACUGAGACACGGCCCAGACUCCUACGGGAGGCAGCAGUGGGGAAUAUUGCACAAUGGAGGAAACUCUGAUGCAGCGACGCCGCGUGAGUGAAGAAGUAGUUCGCUAUGUAAAGCUCUAUCAGCAGGGAAGAUAGUGACGGUACCUGACUAAGAAGCUCCGGCUAAAUACGUGCCAGCAGCCGCGGUAAUACGUAUGGAGCAAGCGUUAUCCGGAUUUACUGGGUGUAAAGGGAGUGUAGGUGGCCAGGCAAGUCAGAAGUGAAAGCCCGGGGCUCAACCCCGGGACUGCUUUUGAAACUGCAGGGCUAGAGUGCAGGAGGGGCAAGUGGAAUUCCUAGUGUAGCGGUGAAAUGCGUAGAUAUUAGGAGGAACACCAGUGGCGAAGGCGGCUUGCUGGACUGUAACUGACACUGAGGCUCGAAAGCGUGGGGAGCAAACAGGAUUAGAUACCC